rnacentral:rRNA from 1 species
UACGUAGGGUGCGAGCGUUAAUCGGAAUUACUGGGCGUAAAGCGUGCGCAGGCGGUCUGUUAAGACCGAUGUGAAAUCCCCGGGCUUAACCUGGGAACUGCAUUGGUGACUGGCAGGCUUUGAGUGUGGCAGAGGGAGGUAGAAUUCCACGUGUAGCAGUGAAAUGCGUAGAGAUGUGGAGGAAUACCGAUGGCGAAGGCAGCCUCCUGGGCCAACACUGACGCUCAUGCACGAAAGCGUGGGGAGCGAAACAGGAUUAG